GACGAACGCUGGCGGCGUGCUUAACACAUGCAAGUCGAACGGAAAGGCCCUGCUUUUGUGGGGUGCUCGAGUGGCGAACGGGUGAGUAACACGUGAGUAACCUGCCCUUGACUUUGGGAUAACUUCAGGAAACUGGGGCUAAUACCGGAUAGGAGCUCCUGCUGCAUGGUGGGGGUUGGAAAGUUUCGGCGGUUGGGGAUGGACUCGCGGCUUAUCAGCUUGUUGGUGGGGUAGUGGCUUACCAAGGCUUUGACGGGUAGCCGGCCUGAGAGGGUGACCGGCCACAUUGGGACUGAGAUACGGCCCAGACUCCUACGGGAGGCAGCAGUGGGGAAUAUUGCACAAUGGGCGGAAGCCUGAUGCAGCAACGCCGCGUGCGGGAUGACGGCCUUCGGGUUGUAAACCGCUUUCGCCUGUGACGAAGCGUGAGUGACGGUAAUGGGUAAAGAAGCACCGGCUAACUACGUGCCAGCAGCCGCGGUGAUACGUAGGGUGCGAGCGUUGUCCGGAUUUAUUGGGCGUAAAGGGCUCGUAGGUGGUUGAUCGCGUCGGAAGUGUAAUCUUGGGGCUUAACCCUGAGCGUGCUUUCNAUACGGGUUGACUUGAGGAAGGUAGGGGAGAAUGGAAUUCCUGGUGGAGCGGUGGAAUGCGCAGAUAUCAGGAGGAACACCAGUGGCGAAGGCGGUUCUCUGGGCCUUUCCUGACGCUGAGGAGCGAAAGCGUGGGGAGCGAACAGGCUUAGAUACCCUGGUAGUCCACGCUGUAAACGGUGGGUACUAGGUGUGGGGUCCAUUCCACGGGUUCCGUGCCGUAGCUAACGCUUUAAGUACCCCGCCUGGGGAGUACGGCCGCAAGGCUAAAACUCAAAGGAAUUGACGGGGCCCCGCACAAGCGGCGGAGCAUGCGGAUUAAUUCGAUGCAACGCGUAGAACCUUACCUGGGUUUGACAUGGAUCGGGAGUGCUCAGAGAUGGGUGUGCCUCUUUUGGGGUCGGUUCACAGGUGGUGCAUGGCUGUCGUCAGCUCGUGUCGUGAGAUGUUGGGUUAAGUCCCGCAACGAGCGCAACCCUUGUUCACUGUUGCCAGCACGUUAUGGUGGGGACUCAGUGGAGACCGCCGGGGUCAACUCGGAGGAAGGUGGGGAUGACGUCAAGUCAUCAUGCCCCUUAUGUCCAGGGCUUCACGCAUGCUACAAUGGCUGGUACAGAGAGUGGCGAGCCUGUGAGGGUGAGCGAAUCUCGGAAAGCCGGUCUCAGUUCGGAUUGGGGUCUGCAACUCGACCUCAUGAAGUCGGAGUCGCUAGUAAUCGCAGAUCAGCAACGCUGCGGUGAAUACGUUCCCGGGGCU
rnacentral:rRNA from 1 species